rnacentral:lncRNA from 1 species
AAAAAAAGAAAAAAAAUUUAAUAAAAUGUUUUGUUUUUUCCUGAAGCAGAAACUGCUUCUUUUAGGGUUUCUCUAACCUUUGGGAGCCGCCGCUCAAGGACUUCCCACAGCCUCUAUCGAUGCCCCAGUCCCCAAUCGCGACGGAGAGGGCACCAACUCGGCGAUUCCGGCGAAAAGGUAAGUUUACCCUCUUCUUUUUUUAUAUUUUAAGUAAAAAUAAAUAAAUAAAUAAAAUAAGCAAAUAAAUAAAGAAAUGGCGAAUCUGUAUUUUAAUAUUUUCUUUGUAUUCUCUUUCGUUCCAAAAAAAAAAUCCCCUGUUACAAUGUUUGAGUCUGCUUUUUAUAGUAGACCAAUGAAAAAAAGAAAAAAAGGUAUGAAAUUUCUAUUGCAUCUUUGCUUGCUGAUUUUCCUUCGAGUUUCUCGUUAUUCUGCCAAUUCUAUCUUGUUGCCUUUCUUGUCCUGCAGGUGAAGGUGGCUCGUGUAAGGCGCUUGGUUGCGGUGCUGAAGACUCCCUUAGAAACCCUAGGUUUCUUCAUUUGUUUUGGGCCACUUGUAUUUUGGGCCUUGUAUUCUGGGCCAGCUCGUUAAAAUACUGGACUUUUUUAUUUUAUUUUUAUUAUAAAAAGGCCGGAUAAAAUUUAGUUAUUACAAGUGAUAAAAACUAUCAAAACACCAUUAAAAAUAAUAGAAAAUAUAAAAUUUUGAAAUAUAAUAUAUAAUAAAAGUAUAUAAAUAAUUUAAUAUUUGUAAAAAAGAAAUUUACUCUAACUAGC